AGCAUUUGGGUGAGUGUUCUUGUGUACGUCGCGUUUCUAUUUAUCUACUGCGCGGCUUUUCCCAGCUUCGGUUAUACUGUGGCCAGCGGUAUUCACGGAGCCCAGUAUAAGUUAUUCGGAAGUGCUUUAUUUUACUAUACUAUUAUUCUGGUCACCUGUAUUGCUCUCACUCGCGAUUUUGUGUGGAAAGUUAUCCAGCGGCUUUUCUUCCCUUCUGACUACCACGUGAUACAAGAAAUGGAAAGGUUGCAUCGAGAUCCCGCACUGCAAAGUUUUGCUUUUUCGUUCCAGCGCGCCUUGAAAAAAUUGCCUCUUUUGAAGACACGUGCUUGGCGGGGCUACGCUUUUUCCCAGGAAGAACGCGAAGGGAAAAGUUUUGGGCAAGCGGAUAUCAUACGCGCGUACGAUACUACUAAAGAAAAGCCAACA